rnacentral:lncRNA from 1 species
CUUUAUGAAAACAAAAUAAAGCCUUACCUCGAAUCCUCUUCCAAAAAGCACUUUCAGCAACAUAAAUCUCCAUAAUGGCUCUAAAAUCAAUUUCCAACACCGACAUUGAGAUAUGAGACUCAAACAAUGUAACAGAUCUUGCGGAUCUAUGAACUCUUAUUUUUAGGGAGAAAUGGACGGUCUAGAUUAUUUAUUACAAUAACUAUAGUUUUAGAGCUUGAAAUCCUAUUUUUUUCACAACCAUAGUGUUCAAGCCAAGAUGAUCGAUGUAAAGGUUUUCUAAUGCUGGGUACUUGGUAGGAAGAGUGUCAAG